AUGCCAUUUCCUACUUUUCUCUCUUCCAAAACCCUUGAAAAUAUUAUACAAUGCAGGUUACUGCUAGUAGAUAUUUUUCUUACUAAAAUUUUAAUGGCAUCUUCUACUACUUAAUUUCUUUUAAGAAAAGGCUUUGUUUAUCGCAAUUCUUUCAAAUUUGGCCAUAGUUAGGAAAGUGAUCCAAAUAAAUGACUUUUGAGUUCAAGAUUAUAAGACAACUCGUAGACAUAAAGUGCACCUCUCUGAUCUCAUCUCCAUCUUUUAACUCUAAACUUCGUUUAAGUCUUUCCAAAGUCAACCAGAAGUUUAACCUUAUUUAGCGACACCAUCUGGUCUACCUACAUCGUCCAUUAAAUUGUUUUUUUUUCCUGCCAUUGUUUGCUUGGCUUAGAAGAAUGGCCGACCAUGCAUUUUGCAUGUGCACCUGGUCGCUCUCUCUCUCUCUACACUCUGAACAUCUAUGCACGUAUUGAUACAGUACACCUUUGGUUGUAUGUUUUUGGAGAGGUGGAGGCCGGCCGAUGCUUUCCUAGCAUGCCCGACCCUGCUCCCUCUUUCCCUCUCCAUCUUGCUGCAGCGUCUGUCCCAUCCUAGCCUAUACCUGUACAUCACAUGCACUGAUGAAUACCCUCUGGACACUCUCCUUUCUUCUCUUCAUCUGCCUAACCAAUCGUUACAUACUCAGGAGCACCCCGACCGGACAUGGAUGGCACGAUGCUGCAUGCGCCCUUCCCUCUCUCUUGCCCUCCGACUUGUAAGACCAGCCGGUGACCGUCGAACCCUCUCCACACAUUACUCCACCUCCCUGACACCCUCUGCAUCUCGCUCGCGCUGACACGCCAUGGCCACCACUCUCUCUCUUUUCUUCUCCCUGGCGGACACCAAACAAGGGACAACAGAGAAAUGACCCGUGCUGGCUCCCAUGGCUGCGCCACGGAGACGUCAUGUCUCUUCUCUCGCUGACCUGAAUGCUCCCGAGGCAUCCCUUGCCCCACAGCCCCUCGCCCGUGCUUGCCAAGAUCCUGGUCACCACGGCUGCGGACGCCCCGGCGUUCCCGCUCAUAGCCUCCUCUCUUGUCACUUCCUUCACCCUAAGCCUGCAAGGCACGCCACCGCGACCCCACCUAGUGCCCCAGCACCCUCCUUCUUGCUAUCGUUCGUUGUACAACGCUAUCGAACACCAACGACGUGGCUCGGGCAACUUUCAGUCCAUUCCAUUUGGGCCCGCGAUUUUCCUCUCCCUUGGUCGCACUGAGCUCAGAUCACUGCGCCGCACAUCUCUGCACCGUUUUUCCGACCAAUGUGAGCUCGUGGGGAAACCCCAAGUCUAGGAACCGGCCGUAGACCGUGCACGCCUCCAGACCGCUUUUAACUCGACCCCGGCGCAUCCCAGCCUUGCUCCUGAUCCACACCACUCCCUUUUCACCAGAAUACCUCCAGGGCGUAGCCCUCUCCGCUCUCGGCCAUGGUCACGGCCGAGCUGAGCUCGCCGCCGUGUGCGUCGUUGUCAUCGUCCUGUCGCUCGUCGUGGACGAGGCCGCUGCACCCGCAUCUACACCCUCUGUAUGCCUCGUUCUUCUCUCCCGAGUCCAGCAAGCCCUGACUACCCUCUAUUGCCCUGCAGCUCGCUUGUGUUGCGCCGCCGUCGGGGUCUACGUCUCCGUCACUGUGGCCAUCGCGCCGUUCGGGUCGUCCACAACAAGCUCGCAUGCAUGCAUGCGUAGCCGAGGGAAGCUGCCCCAGCCGAGCGUCCCUAGCCUCCCCUGCUGCUCCGCGCCGUCGCCGUCACCUUCCAGCAAGCCCCGCGAUGAGCGCCGACCGCCUCCAUCGUCGGCCUCGUCCGAGCGGGUGUCAGCGACGCCACGCUCCCUCGCCGGUGCCGCCAUCUCCGGACCGGCAGGAUCGCCUUCGCCAGGCCCCUGCGUCGCCCUGCGCUCCGCCGCACCUGCUCGCGUCGUCGUCCUCGCCUGCAAGCCACCCCCGGUGACCUCCCUCUCUCUUUCCGUCGUGGCCAUCGCGGCGGCGCCACUUCUCCCUGGGCGCAGACGUCUCCCGACGGAGAUGCGUGCAUGCAUGCACGUCCACGCGAGCGGGGCACGGCCAGCUGGGCCAAGCUGGGUCGCCCGCCUGCUGGCUAGCUCACGCACGCAUGCACGCAGCUGGGCCAAAAUGCGAACGCUAUCGGAGAAGGAGAGGAUCUUGGUGAGGAUUUCGAAGAAGAAGAAAGAGCUGAUGAUUCAUGAAGAUGAAGUCCAGGGACAUAUAGCCAACAAAGGCAAGCCACCUCUUGAUGCAUCUCUGAUCCUACAUAUAUCUUGUUCUUGCAUUAUUCUAGGUUUUAUAAAGUGCAUGUCUUUCAUUUAUUAUGUCGGUGGUUAGCGCCACCGGAAUUUUAUUAAUCCACCCUUAGGGUGCAGCCCUUGUUGGAACCUACUGAUCCCAAUCUUAAUAGUGAUAUGGUGCUUAUCACCUUAUCAUCCUUGUCGCCGAUUUUCAAGAAAAGAUGGACUAUAGGUUGGGAGCCCUUGUGGAAGAGUUUUUUUUGGAAAAAUGUUUCCGAGAAAGAUGUUUUUGGAAAACCUUGGAAUGGGGUAGCCCUGCCCAAGUGUGGUUUAUAAAAAGGCAAAAGUUUCUAAAAAGAAGAUUUGCUGGAGGUAAGCGGAGGAAAGAAAAUAUUUUCGAAAACUUUAGCGCCUAAGUACUCACCCGGACUGAAAGACAGUGCAACCACAUUACCCCAAAGUGGGCACGUGGCGUAGCGUAGUAGUUUGUCUCGCCUUAGUUUGGGUCCUGCAAAUGUAAGGGGUAGUCCGAGCAUGGACACCUAUCGACCGUGGCCUUCCCGACGAACUGGGAACGCCUUUCCGUCUCGGACAGAUGGCAGGGGUACAACCUAUGAGCUCCCAUUGAAUAAUGCCCCGCAGUUGGUCGCGGCAUUCCGGAGGGUCGAGCUGGUCGGGGAAUUUGCUACUCCUGGGUAAACGACCCCUCGGACUCUGGUGUUGGGAGGUACAACUCUAGGCGGCAUGUCUUAGGCUAUGGCGAGCAAGCGAAAAACUACGAUCGGUUAUCCGAGCCUCGCGUUUUGACGCUUGGUGAACCAGGGAUGUUCCCGGCGGAUUUAUCGGAUCUUGUGGGGAAAGUGUACAACCUCUGCAGAGUGAAAACUAUUCGAAUAGCCGUGUCCGCGGUUAUGGACGGUCGGGAAGGUUGUUGCUUAGCCUGAAGAGUUUUUGUUUUACAAAAGUGUUUUCUCAAAUAUUGUUUUGGGAAAGUGAUGCCAGUGGGACUGGUGGAAAGUGUACCUGGGAGGUACGGUGGAAAGCUGAAAUGUUUUGUGUUGGCCAUAUGAGAUGGCCGGGAAAGAAAUUGGGUCACCCUUACCUAUUAGUCUGCAAAUAAAAUGGUUUACAGAAAAGUUUUUCAACAACGAUAUGAAGAUGUCAUACUCUCGAGGGGAACCACCUCUCGCUCCUUGUCGCCCUAGUGUAGUGCUUAUUUCUUGCUAUUGCCAAAUUGCAUAUCCUUUACUUCUCUCUAAGGUGGUUUGCGAGUACAAUUCAUAAUGUACUCAUGGCUUUGUCCCUGGCUAUUUACUUGGCCAGACUUGGUGGAAUCCGACAGAUGAAGAAGGAGUCAACGACGUCUAUGCGAGCUAGGAACGUUCUCCCAGUCAGUUGCAUGUAGGGUUAUGGCAUGACUUGGGCCAUGCGAAUGCUUUCUUCUGAAGUAUUUCCGCUGUGUGAUUGUUGAUAUCAUGCCAUUGCGGCUCUUAUGUAAGUAUUGGUUAUGUGA